rnacentral:rRNA from 1 species
UGAACGCUGGCGGCGUGCUUAAUACAUGCAAGUCGAACGAAGAGUCCUAACCGAAGAUGAUGACGUGCUUGCACUGAAUCUGAUUCACCCUAGGAUUACUGAGUGGCGGACGGGUGAGUAACGCGUGGGUAACCUGCCUUAGACAGGGGGAUAACAUCAAGAAAUUGGUGCUAAUACCGCAUAUGCUCACAGUAUCGCAUGAUACAGUGAGGAAAACUCCGGUGGUCUAAGAUGGACCCGCGUCUGAUUAGCUAGUUGGAGGGGUAACGGCCCACCAAGGCGACGAUCAGUAGCCGACUUGAGAGAGUGAUCGGCCACAUUGGGACUGAGACACGGCCCAAACUCCUACGGGAGGCAGCAGUAGGGAAUAUUGCACAAUGGGGGAAACCCUGAUGCAGCGACGCCGCGUGAAGGAUGAAGUAUUUCGGUAUGUAAACUUCUAUCAGCAAGGAAGAAAAUGACGGUACUUGACUAAGAAGCCCCGGCUAAAUACGUGCCAGCCGCGGC